rnacentral:lncRNA from 1 species
UCUCCGCUUCUUCUUUCUCUCUCCACACUUCUUUUCCUCAAACAAAAAAAAAAAAAACAAAACAAAAACUCUUCUUUUCAGACUCUUCUUAUUCUUAUCAAAAGAAAGAACAACAAAAUUAGGGUUUUCCAUUCGGGAAAAAUAUAAAAUUGAUGUAAAAAUUAAUCGUAGAAACACGGUUGUCAAUGAUAAUAUGAGGCGCAUCACCGUCGGCUAUCGAGAUUCCUGUUCUUCUCAAUUCUCUGAUGCUUAUCCUAAAAGGUUAUAAUCCUUGAAGAUCCAUCUCUAUUUUAGCGAUUUUCAAAAUUUGCACAGAUUAAGAUAGUUAUAUUUAUAUAGUUCUUUUUCGUUGAUGAGUAUGUAUGUUUGUUUAUUAAUUAAUUUAUAGAGAAAAUAGAUGAAGAAAAAUCAUUAUUUUACAUAGUUUGGGUUUGUUGAUAUUUUUUAUUUGUUUUUUGUUUCCUCACAAAUUGAAUUGAUAAAUAUAGGGGUUUGAUGGAAGGGAGAUAUAGUGGGGAUUGAUAUGAUGAUGAUGAAGUUGUUUAUAAGUAUGUUACUGUUUUGUUGAAUUAUUUUUGGGAUGGCAAUA